rnacentral:rRNA from 1 species
UACGUAGGGGGCAAGCGUUGUCCGGAUUUAUUGGGCGUAAAGAGCGUGUAGGCGGCCUGACAGGUCUGCUGUGAAAACUCGAGGCUCAACCUCGAGAUGUCGGCGGAAACUGUCUGGCUAGAGUCCGGAAGGGGCGAGUGGAAUUCCUGGUGUAGCGGUGAAAUGCGCAGAUAUCAGGAGGAACACCAAUGGCGAAGGCAGCUCGCUGGGACGGUACUGACGCUGAGGCGCGAAAGCGUGGGGAGCAAACAGG